rnacentral:rRNA from 1 species
UACGAAGGGGGCUAGCGUUGCUCGGAAUUACUGGGCGUAAAGCGCACGUAGGCGGGUUCUUAAGUCGGUGGUGAAAUCCUGGAGCUCAACUCCAGAACUGCCUUUGAUACUGGGAAGCUCGAGUCCGGAAGAGGUGAGUGGAACUCCGAGUGUAGAGGUGAAAUUCGUAGAUAUUCGGAAGAACACCAGUGGCGAAGGCGGCUCACUGGUCCGGUAUUGACGCUGAGGAGCGAAAGCCAGGGGAGCAAACGGG